rnacentral:RNase_P_RNA from 2 species
UGGCCGGGGCGGUCAUGUCGCUUGCCGAUGUAUAGGCGGCAAGAGGAAAGUCCGGGCAACACAGAGCACCAUACUUGUUAACGGCAAGCUGUCGGCAACGGCAGAGUAGCGUGACAGAAAACAACCGCCCGCUCCGCGCGGGUAAGGGUGAAAAGGUGGGGUAAGAGCCCACCGGGCGGCGUGGCAACACGUCGUGCCGCACGUCUUAUGGGUUGCAAGGCCAAGUACACCGGCAUUUAAGGAUUGCUCGUCCGCUGCCGGGGGGUAGGCUGCUUGAGCGGUUUAGGCCGCCUAGAUAAAUGACAAGACCGUGGCGGUGGCCGCGCGGCGGAGGCGUAAGCCCCGUCAGGCGACGAAGCGCCGCAACGACAUAACCCGGCUUAUAGCCCCGACCACUUU